AACGAACGCUGGCGGCAGGCCUAACACAUGCAAGUCGAGCGGCCUUUCGGGGGAGUGGCGGGCGGGUGGGUAACGAGUAGGAAGAUGCCCAUCUCUACGGAAUGGCCUCGGGAAACAGAGAGUAAUAACGAAUGCGUCCGGUGGGGGGAAGAAUUAUCGGGGGAGGAUUAGCCCGCGUUGGAUUAGGUAGUUGGUGGGGUAAUGGCCUACCAAGCCGACGAUCCAUAGCUGGUUUGAGAGGAUGAACGGCCACACUGGGACUGAGACACGGCCCAGACUCCUACGGGAGGCAGCAGUGGGGAAUCUUAGACAAUGGGCGCAACCCUGAUCUAGCCAUGCCGCGUGAGUGAUGAAGGCCUUAGGGUUGUAAAGCUCUUUCAGCUGGGAAGAUAAUGACGGUACCAGCAGAAGAAGCCCCGGCUAACUCCGUG
rnacentral:rRNA from 1 species